UAGAGUUUGAUCCUGGCUCAGAACGAACGCUGGCGGCGUGCCUAACACAUGCAAGUCGAGCGAGAAAGUGGCUUCGGCCGUGAGUAAAGCGGCGAACGGGUGAGUAACACGUAGGUAACCUACCCUUAAGACCGGGACAACCUGUCGAAAGACGGGCUAAUACUGGAUAAGACCCCGAUACCUUCGGGUAUUGUGGUAAAAGAUGGCCUCUUCAUGAAAGCUAUCACUAAAGGAUGGGCCUGCGCACCAUUAGCUAGUUGGUAGGGUAAUGGCCUACCAAGGCAACGAUGGUUAGCUGAUCUUAGAGGAUGAUCAGCCACACUGGAACUGAAACACGGUCCAGACUCCUACGGGAGGCAGCAGUGGGGAAUCUUGCGCAAUGGGGGAAACCCUGACGCAGCAACGCCGCGUGAGUGAUGAAGGCCUUCGG
rnacentral:rRNA from 1 species